CUACGGGACGCUCCAGUGAGGAAUAUUGCACAAUGGGGGGAACCCUGAUGCAGCAACGCCGCGUGGAGGAUGACGCAUUUCGGUGUGUAAACUCCUUUUAUAUGUCAAGAAAAUGACGGUAGCAUAUGAAUAAGCACCGGCUAACUCCGUGCCAGCAGCCGCGGUAAUACGGAGGGUGCAAGCGUUACUCGGAAUCACUGGGCGUAAAGGACGCGUAGGCGGGUUGGAAAGUCAGGUGUGAAAUCCUACAGCUUAAAUGUAGAACUGCACUUGAAAUUUCUAAUCUAGAGUAUGGGGAGGGGAGAUGGAAUUAGGGGGGUAGGGGUAAAAUCCGUAGAUAUCACUAGGAAUACCUAAAGCGAAGGCGAUCUCCUGGAACAUUACUGACGCUAAGGCGUGAAAGCGUGGGGAGCAAACAGGAUUAGAUACCCUAGUAGUC
rnacentral:rRNA from 1 species